GACGGAGGAUGCAAGUGUUAUCCGGAAUCACUGGGCGUAAAGCGUCUGUAGGUGGUCAAAUAAGUCAACUGUUAAAUCUUGAGGCUCAACCUCAAAAUCGCAGUCGAAACUAUUAGACUAGAGUAUAGUAGGGGUAAAGGGAAUUUCCAGUGGAGCGGUGAAAUGACGUAGAGAUUGGAAAGAACACCGAUGGCGAAGGCACUUUACUGGGCUAUUACUAACACUCAGAGACGAAAGCUAGGGUAGCAAAUAGG
rnacentral:rRNA from 1 species